AACGAACGCUGGCGGCAGGCUUAACACAUGCAAGUCGAACGCACCGCAAGGUGAGUGGCAGACGGGUGAGUAACGCGUGGGAACCUACCUAUCGGUUCGGAAUAACUCGGGGAAACUCGAGCUAAUACCGGAUACGCCCUACGGGGGAAAGAUUUAUCGCCGAAUGAUGGGCCCGCGUUGGAUUAGCUAGUUGGUGAGGUAAUGGCUCACCAAGGCGACGAUCCAUAGCUGGUCUGAGAGGAUGAUCAGCCACACUGGGACUGAGACACGGCCCAGACUCCUACGGGAGGCAGCAGUGGGGAAUAUUGGACAAUGGGCGAAAGCCUGAUCCAGCCAUGCCGCGUGAGUGAUGAAGGCCCUAGGGUUGUAAAGCUCUUUCGCCUGGGAAGAUAAUGACUGUACCAGGAGAAGAAGCCCCGGCUAACUUCGUGCCAGCCGCCGCCGUAACAC
rnacentral:rRNA from 1 species